rnacentral:tRNA from 1 species
GCCCUAGUAGCUUAGUACUUAAAGCGCCGGUCUUGUAAU